GACAGAGGGGGCAAGCGUUGCUCGGAAUCACUGGGCGUAAAGGGCGCGUAGGCGGGAUGGCAAGUCGGUCGUGAAAUCUCUCGGCUCAACCGAGAAACGUCGGCCGAUACUGCCGUUCUUGAGGGAUGCAGAGGAGACUGGAAUUCCCGGUGUAGCGGUGAAAUGUGUAGAGAUCGGGAGGAACACCGGUGGCGAAAGCGGCGCUCUAGGCCUAAACUGACGCUGAGGGGCGAAAGCGUGGGGAGCGAACGGG
rnacentral:rRNA from 1 species